rnacentral:rRNA from 1 species
CCGUCUGAGGGUCGGCU